UUUUCUCGUCUACUUGGAGCAUGCUCUUUCUUUGAAUAAAAGGGUGGUUUACAUUGUUACGAGGACACAUACAUAUAUAUAUAAAUAUAUGGACGUUAUUUCCAUGCUGCAACCCACCAUGUGUACCAAUUUUAACACAUUCGCUGCCCAACAGAUUUACGAUAAUUUUUAAGGGGAAAAAUAAAUCUCGUUUUCUAGAUGUCUGUACGAUGUACAUGUAUUUGUUUUUACAUCUGGAAGAAAUACCCUGCUAGAUCUAUAUUUUCUAUGGUACAAACAUAUGUAUGUUUACUUUUACCUUUUUUUUACCUAUCUAUGAAGAAACUACAGUGGCUUACAGCUUAAAUGAACCAGACAACCAGAAAAACUUAAAAGUGGUACACUCAAAUGUGGUACAAAUUCAGUCGAAGUUACGAUCAAACGAGUAUAUCCUCUUGCGUGAUGCCCGGCUAUCGUUAAAAGUCUGUGGGACUAAUCUCGAAUUUACCUGUUUUUACGCAUGGGAUGCCUGUGCGUAUUGGCAAUCCGUCUUCGUUGCUUGAUCUUGCGCCGCUCCCAACUGAUUUUAAUUUCAAAUAAAUAAUUUGGAAAUUGAGGUAGGAAUCACCAUUAAUGGUGCCACCAAAUUCGCAUUUCUUUGCACUGCAGAUAAGAGCCAUGUUCAACAGCUGUUGGGUCACUGUGCACAGCGAGAAAAAAAGACGCACUGAGAGGACAAGCUAGAUGAGAGACCAGGCAGCAGCAGCAGCAGCAGAAAGAGCACGAUGAUCAGCAGUUAUGUAUGUCCCUAUGUAUGUACAUAUAUACAGGGCAGACGGCGCAGCGAAGUGACGAAAGCUAACGACGAACUCCAAUAAAGCAAAGCAGAGGCGCCGAGAUAUUAGACCAUAAACGAAGAAUGCAGGCGUCGUAUGGUAAGAGUGAGAGCCAGAGUGCAGCUCGCGUGAAAUCCAGAGAGUGAGUAGGCAGUGCAACGGAUUAUGCGCGAGAACGGCGAAAAAGGCGAGAGCGAUGCAGAAACACGACCGGCUUGCUUGUCACGAAAGGCUUGCUUUUUUGAUAUUGCUGUUCGCAAAAGAGACGAAUUGCUUCGAUGGGUGAAAAUGAGAAAAACAUAGAAACAAGGAGAAGGAACGUGUGAGUCGCUUCUGGGGACGCGACAAUA